rnacentral:rRNA from 1 species
UACGGGGGGGGUAAGCGUUGUUCGGAAUUACUGGGCGUAAAGGGCUCGUAGGCGGCCAACUAAGUCAUACGUGAAAGCCUUGAGCUUAACUCAAGAAAUGCAUUCAGGACUGGGCGACUAGAGGACCGGAGAGGAUAGUGGAAUUCCCAGUGUAGUGGUGAAAUACGUAGGGAUUGGGAAGAACACCAGUGGCGAAGGCGGCUAUCUGGACGGUUUCUGACACUAAGACUCGAAAGCGUGGGGAGCAAACAGG